UAUUUUCCUUAGAAAACCGUGUAGAGGGAGAGGGAUUUGAAUGAGUUCUCACCAUUUUUCAUCCUCCAAAUCUCAAAAAAGCUAAUGGUCUUGAUCUAGCUUUUUUUAAAGUUCCAUGGAAAAAAAUCUAUGCUCUUCAAGGAUAAAGCCUUCAGGCUCUAACCUAACUAGCGGCCAUGAGUGACACUCGGGAUGACCCUACGGACGGCCGAGAUUAUUUGACUAGCGGCCAUGAGUGGCGCGGAACUAUCUGGAUACCUGAUUAUUUUAGCAGUAUGUGCAAUCUAAAAAGUUUGACAAGUUUGAUAUGCAAGUGAUUUUGUUAUGUAUAUUUAAUGAUUCAUGAUUUAAUUAUUCGAUACUCAUGCCAUGCUUCUAUGUAUACAUUUGAUUUGCAUGCUUAUAUUUAUAAAUUGCUUGAAGUAUGGUAGAUUUGUUGUGUACCACUGAGCCUAUAAAGCUCAGCCUUCGAAUUGUCAUUAUGUUCAAAUUUGUAGACUUUUUUCGUGUCCGAGGAACAUCAUCGACGAGAGACUUCUAGCAUCACCUAUUAAGAGUACAGUACCUUAUCUAUUAGUUGGCAUUGUAUUCCUAAGGCCUUACUUGUAUUUUUUUUUGUAGGUCUAUAACUCAUUUAUCAUUUUUUUUAUUUUGACUAUUUUGAUAUACGAUGAUAUUGGAGCUCCACA